rnacentral:rRNA from 1 species
UGGGGAAUAUUGGGCAAUGGAGGCAACUCUGACCCAGCAACGCCGCGUGAGGGAAGAAGGUUUUCGGAUUGUAAACCUCUGUCCUAGGGGACGAAGAAAGUGACGGUACCCUAGGAGGCAGCCCCGGCUAACUACGUGCCAGCAGCCGCGGUAAUACGUAGGGGGCAAGCGUUGUCCGGAAUUACUGGGCGUCAAGGGUGCGUAGGCGGUAUGGUAAGUUAGAUGUGAAAUCCCCGGGCUUAACUCGGGAGUUGCAUUUAAAACUGUCAGACUAGAGUGCAGGAGAGGAAAGCGGAAUUCCUAGUGUAGCGGUGAAAUGCGUAGUUAUUAGGAGGAACACCAGGGGCGAAGGCGGCUUUCUGGACUGUAACUGACGCUGAGGCGCGAAAGCGUGGGGAGCGAACA